rnacentral:rRNA from 1 species
UUCGGGUGGUUUUGUUCACCCAAAGUCCCCUUGAGUGGGGCCACAGUCCAUAGAAGGUGAUAGGCCUGUACGGGUGGUGAAGCUGCUGAUAUGGUUGUACCUUGAAGUCGAGUUGCCUGGGAACGCAGCUCAAAGCAGAUGGUAAACCUCAUCUAAGGCUAAAUAUGACCACGAGACCGAAAGCAAACAAGUACCGUGAGGGAAAGUUGCAAAGAACUUUGAAGAGAGAGUUCAAGAGGGCGUGAAACCGCUGGGAAGGAAACGGAUAGAGUUGACGAAGCCUGGUGGCAUUCAGCCGAUACGGUGUCGAUGCCUGGUUGUCCUAGUAUCAUCCUCUGCGAAGUGGAUGGGGGCCUGGCCGGUAGCGUUGAUACUGAAAUUGGUGUAUUUGCUCUGGGUAUGCGCUGAGAGGUUUGCUGUGGUGUGCUAAGACCGUUGCUGAAGAGGACUGUGCCCAGCUGGGUGUAGAAACCUUUGGUGGGUUUAGGCGUAUCCGUGGUGAACUGCCGGUUAGCUCUGGUUGUGUUGCCCCGCUGGUUGGCGCAAUGGCUGCUACGUGGCUAGUGUGACUGUUGAGCGGUCGCUUGCGACUUGCUUAUAGUUGGCGUUGGCUCGUUGGUGGUUUUGGUUGCGUUGGGUUAAUACAUCUCGGUGUAAAAGUCAAUCACCUA